GAAUCGCAUCAGAAUAUUUAGUCAAAUUAUCCUGCAAAAUUCAUGGUGCUCCUGAAUGAUUUGAAGACGACUCGAUUCCGGUGGAACUACAAUUUCUCCAGUGCACAAGGGUUGAAUCUGUCCGGAUCUAUCAAGAUACUAAACGUUUUCGUGUCCAAGGUGUCUAAAAGAGGUUUGAGUGAUUUUAACGAGGCUUCGACGUAAUCGAGAUUAAACUCAUUUUGAUGUUCAUUCUUAUAAAAUAAAAAGAAGACGGAAUGUUUAUCAUGCGGAAAAGCCAUGGCAUUGCCGAUUUCAAAUUGAUAUUGUUGUACUUCCCCUACCGAGAA